CACGAAUAAAAAGAUCACGGAAAAGCCUUCUCAGGUAAGCAUAAUCUGGUUUAUCAUCAAAACGCAAUGACCGACAGUAAUGGAAGUAGGAUGCAAAUUCUGUGGGAUAAGUCCGACAUAAAGCCUCAAUAGAAGUAGAUACUUUCUUUUCACUGAUCUUUUCAUACUUUUGCUUCUUGGUCCCCGCUUUUAGUCCUUGCCAUGGAAGACUUCCUCUUAAAAAAUACAUCAGAACAUAUCCAAGAG
rnacentral:misc_RNA from 1 species